AGGCACAAAUUUAGCAAAAACUCAUCAAACCUGCAGGCUAAUUGGAGACAACUUGAAGCCCAGCUCAGAAAGAUACUUCGCUUCUCUGCUCUGGUACCAAUAUAGAACCAACUGCAUCUAUCAUCUGGACUUCUGUGAUUCCUCCCUAUGUUUCUUACUGACCAUGAAGUAAUGCAAUGUACUGUCACCACUGUUCCCAGCUGUGAAGAAACUUGUAGUGCUGCUUUCUGCGAGGUAAGAAGCUGAAGAAGAGGGUGCAGAAAGCUGAUGUUCUUUGCUGUGUCAUCUCAGCUUGGAGUUGGAGCAUGGACAAGACGCAUGCCAGGACCACAUCUGUGAUCCCGGGUUUGAGUGAAAUGAACACUCCUGGGAGAGAUUGGAAAUUGAAACUGGUUUUCAGAGACUGUGAGAGAUGGCAGGGGUGUUGGAAAUAGAUGAUCUUAAGAUCUUUUCCAACCCUAACCAGUCUAUGAUUCUAUGGUAUAUAAUAAAAUCACUGGAUACCAGGAUUCUAAUAAAUCA